rnacentral:rRNA from 1 species
UUCCGGUUGAUCCUGCCGGAGGCGACCGCUAUUGGAGUUCGAUUAAGCCAUGCGAGUAGAAAGAAAUUAGAUUCUUUGCAUACUGCUCAGUAACACGUGGAUAACCUGCCCUACACUGGGGGAUAAUCUCGGGAAACUGAGCAUAAUACCCCAUAGACCACUACGCCUGGAACGGUGAGUGGUUGAAAGCUCAGGCGGUGUAGGAUGGGUCUGCGGCGUAUCAGGUCGUAGGGGGUGUAAUGGACCUCCUAGCCAUCGACGCGUACGGGUUGUGGGAGCAAUAGCCCGGAGACGGAUUCUGAGACACGAAUCCGGACCCUACGGGGUGUAGCAGGCGCGAAAACUUCACACUGCAGGAAACUGUGAUGAGGGAACUCCAAGUGACUGCACAAUGUGUAGCCUUUUCUUGAAUCUUAAUAGUUCUUGGAAUAAGGGCUGGGAAAGACCGGUGCCAGCCGCCGCGGUAAUACCGGCAGCUCAAGUGGUCGUCGCUUUUAUUGGGCCUAAAACGUCCGUAGCCUGUUCGGUAAAUCUGUGGGUAAAUCAACGAGCUUAACUCGUUGAAUUCUGCAGAGACUGCCAGACUAGGGACCGGGAGAGGUAUGAGGUACUCUGGGGGUAGGGGUAAAAUCCUGUCAUCCUCAGAGGACUACCUGUUGCGAAGGCGUCAUACUGGAACGGAUCCGACGGUCAGGGACGAAGCCUAGGGGCACGAACCGGAUUAGAUACCCGGGUAGUCCUAGGUGUAAACGCUGUGGAUUUGGUGUGUGGGGUCCGCAAUGGGCCCCAUGUGCCGGAGUGAAGAUGUUAAAUCCACUGCCUGGGGAGUACGGUCGCAAGGCUGAAACUUAAAGGAAUUGGCGGGGCAGCAC